GACGAACGCUGGCGGCGUGCUUAACACAUGCAAGUCGAACGGAAAGGCCCCUUUGGGGGUACUCGAGUGGCGAACGGGUGAGUAACACGUGAGUAACCUGCCCUUGACUUCGGGAUAACUUCAGGAAACUGGGGCUAAUACCGGAUAGGAAUCCUUGCUGCAUGGUGGGGGUUGAAAGCUUCGGCGGUUUUGGAUGGACUCGCGGCUUAUCAGCUUGUUGGUGGGGUAGUGGCUUACCAAGGCUUUGACGGGUAGCCGGCCUGAGAGGGCGACCCGCCACAUUGGGACUGAGAUACGGCCCAGACUCCUACGGGAGGCAGCGGUGGGGAAUAUUGCACAAUGGGCGGAAGCCUGAUGCAGCAACGCCGCGUGCGGGAUGACGGCCUUCGGGUUGUAAACCGCUUUCAGCAGGGGCGAAGCUUGUGGUGACGGUACCUGCAGAAGAAGCACCGGCUAACUACGUG
rnacentral:rRNA from 1 species